AGCAGGAGCCGGCAGGCGCGGCGGGCGCGCCCGCACUGCUGUGGCGGGCGGGAGGAGGGACGGGCGGACAGCGCCGGGCGGGGGCCGAGCUGGGGAAGGCCGUGAGGGACGGGCGCUGUGGCCAAUGGGGCCCGCGGGGCGGGCUGCGCAGGAACGCGGCGCGGCGGGGUGGGGCGGGGGGCGCUGGCGCGGGGCUGGGGCAGGCGGGAGCGGCGCCGGGCGGGGGCUGCAUUUCGCCGCCGCGGAAUGGCUCCUCCCGCUGCUGCCCGGUGUGGGGCCUGUCCCAGUUUGUCUUUGCAGCAGAGCGUCAGUCGCACUGACAAAUUCACACCUAAAUGACGGAAGUUUCCUCGUUAGCAGCUCAGCUCCGUAAUUUAAUGGUUGCACACCCUCUGUAGAAAGCGCUGAGGCGCCGGCUCACGCCAUCAGGCGCUGGCCAUUGCGCCUUCGUGGCCAUCCGACCCCUGCCCCCGCACCUUGUGCUGCCUGACUCGCAGUUACCAAGAGUCUGAGAGAACGAACACACCCAAGGGAAAAACUGACAGCCUCCACCCACGCUUUGGUGUUUGGGUAUGGUACGUUAAACUUGGAUACAAACAACAACAAUUAAAAUAAUGCCGCCCAUAUUGUCACAAUGUUUCAGGUAAACCCUGGAACACUGCUGUACUUUCUCUUCCAAGUAUUUCAACACUGUCAGUACAAUGCAGUGGUACUGAAAAUGCGUGUUGACUGACAAGAGUCAUGUUUGAAAAGCAUGCAGUACACAGAUCACAAGGCUUUGGUAUUGGUUGGGUUUGGAUUGCAGUAGUACAGGUGUGAUCUGAACAGAAACAGUGAGUUUCUUUUUAAUUUCCUGGAUUGUUUGAAAUGGGUAUUUGAUAACCUAUUGUGUAUGCAAUAUGCCAUUUUAAGUGUCCUGGAGCCUGGAGUUCUGCUCAGCCGUAACAGAGCACAUGAAGCUGACAGCAGGGUGGAAUUGUACAUGCUGCUCACCUUAUGCUCCUUAAUUGUGCUCAGCAGAGACCAAAUCUGAGGAGAGGGGUAGUUUUGUUUUCACACUAAUUUAAUCCCUGGCUACUCUACUGGGACUGCCACCAACUAGGAUGGAAUAGUGUUUUAUGAUGAUAAUCGGUUUACUGAGAAAUUGGCAAAAUGCUAAGAAGUGUUAUAUGAGCCAUUGAACAGCAAGGGAAAUGGUUUGUCAUGUUACUAUUGACCUGUCCCUGAUUUUAACAUAGGACUAGAUGAGAAAAGUCCUUUACACCCCUACCAGUCCUUGACAGUAACUCAAAUUGAUACUUCCUGUUCAGGAUCGUUGUUUGCUUCAUCUAUUUUCUUACAGGGUUUUGAAUGAAGGGUUUAAUCUUUAGCAACAAAACGUAGAGAUGAUCACAUUUUUAUAAAAGUCCACUGUGUUUAAGACAUUGUGUUUAACAAUAGUUAUUAAUUUUAAACUUCUUGCCUAUAUAUGGGAAUUGUAUGUUCAAGUAUCCAGCUUGUAUCCAGAUCCAAAAAAUAAGCAUGCGUUCCUACUAGGAUAAUAAUAUUCACUUACCGUUUCUUUACUUUUCUCCACCUGCACAGAGCAUACAGCCCUACUUUGGGGACUACAUCUCUGCCUAAAUUUAAAUAAUUAAACUAAAUCAAAUGUGGUCAUCAGAGUUUAUAAAAAAGAGAAUUGUAUGUGUAUAUAUAUAGAUAUUUUCCAAAACAUUAAAUUGCUUCUAUUUCUUCUUGUUCAGAAAAGCCAUUUUCUUCAAAUGAGUCAGCUUUGGACUAAGUCCAAGCAGGAGAACUUUACCCCCACUGACAACAGAUUUAGAAUUUCUCACUACAGUGCCCUGCAGUGGUGCCCUACAUUGUGUCUAUAAUAAAAUUAUUAAAUUUUUUUAUCUCUUGCAAAUGAUUGAUUCCUGUCAUACACCACAUAACAUGUCCUUAUCAUAAUGUGACUAGCUCUCUGCAACUGAUGCCCUCCAUCAUGAACUCUUCAAGGUACUUUCUUAUGUGAAUUAUCACAACUUUUUAAUGUGAAAAUAUUUUUUGGAAAUGUUUAUUGCAAAUUGCCCAGUGCAUUUUAUAAUUAAGUAGAGUAAUAGAUAGGUGUGAGAAUUUAUAGAGUAGUAGUAGCUGUUGCUCAGAUGGUGAAUCUCCCAUAGUUGUUAACAUUAGUUGCAAUGUAAGAUGCAGUUUCACUUAUAGUUUUAGCCAUCAAAAUAAAAGCCUUUCCAAAGUCUGCUGAAACUACAGCUAGCUGGAGCACAACUACUGAAGAUAUUUUGCACAGACAAGAUAUAACUAUCUGUACAAAUUAAGAAAAUACCAGGAGUUAUCCUAGGGAUCUAAAUUUGCUAUAAAUAUCAAAACAGAGUCCCCAGCAAUAUUAAUUCCCAGAGCUGGUAUCCCAGUUACCAAAUAAUUACAGAUUAGGUGCACAAAGUUACAUAAUGAGUCUUUCAAGUGAGACUCUGUAUCUGAUCCCACGGAACAUUUAAACAAAUCCUGUAUACACACUUUCAAGCUGGACAUGAAGCCCAAACUCCUCUCAUUUUAAUUUCUAUUUUUAUAUUUGAACAGGAGCACUAGUAAAUACUGCAACAACAUGCAGCUAAAUCAAAAGAACAUUCGGUGAAACAGUUACCUGUAUGUUUGUCUCUCAGGAGUUAAGUGGUCUGAACAAUUACUACAUAGUUUCUUCUGAGUGACAGGGUUUAAUUGCUGCUUUUCCCUAUUCUUACUACUGUUGUUCAUUAUGAUUGCAUGUUUCCACUUUUCUAGGAAAUAGAUUGAAAGGCCUCUGGGGUAAGCACUUCUGCUUAUUAAAUGCUCAGGUGGAUUUCAAAUUGAUUUGAAGUGGAAUUUCUGGGCAUGACUGCAAUACAAAUAUUAAAUAAUAAUUAGUGGAAGUAAUAACCACAUGAAAGACACGAAGAGGCAAUAAGUAAUUUUUUUUUCUUUAACAAGUAUAUAUUGAAGUUUAUUUUAUAUAAUUUAAAUUUGCCAAAAUAUCUUACUGUAGCAUUUUCUGAAUUUACGUGGUUCACAGCUGGAUGACACCACAUUUAUGCUGGUGAAAUUAACACAAAACUGGUAUAAUUCAGUGGCAGUUAAGUUUUAGAAGUGUACUGCUAUAACUUCUAAAUACAUAAUGCAUUUUUGCUAUAUUUAAAGAGAAGCUAAGUAAACAACUUCUGUUCAGUCUAACUUCACUACAAUCCCAAAUAUACACUGGCUAAAUACACCAUACAAAUAAGUUUUUUCUGUAUUUGGUUGCUUUGUUUCUCAAACAGUAAAAUCAAAGUGAUGAAUUAUUAUGCAAGUACCAAUAGAAAACCUUGGUAAUACCACAACCUAUUUUUUAUAUGCUGUGUUCUAGAAAUGGUUAGGAAUGUUUUAGAAUUAUUUUUAACCAUUAUAUUGUUAGUUUUUGCUUGUUUUUAUCUUCCUUGGCUAGCAUGGGAGAGCUGAUGAUUUCUGAGGAACAUUUUGGACAUAGAGGAGCAUUUCAUGUGAAGGAGCAAAGACAAAAAGGUGGUGUUAAGGUUUCAUCUACUGUUUUCCUCCAUCAAAGGAUAUUUUUAUACAUCUUUACAUGGCAGAUAUAUUCUACAGCAUUAUUCCACAUCAGUGAGGAAAUAGUCACUUUCCAGACCACAAAAGUGAAAAAGUUGUCAAUUAACUAAUUUCUAUUCCUGCAAACAAGAAAAAGUGCUCAACAGAGAGCUUGGCUUUACUGAUUAAUUUGAGAAGUCCGCUUUAGUCUAGAGGAGUAAUUGUUUCUAUUUUUAUAAAAAAAGUAUUUAAAAUAUUUUACUUUCUUGGAGAAAAGUGAAAAUGCAUCGCUUCUGUUUAACCAUGCUAUUAGCAGUGUAGCAGAGUAUACAUCUGAGCAUCAUGACAACAUUGACUCACCCCAUUUCCAUGAACAUAUUUCUAACUGCUGUGAUUAAACAGUAUACAUUCAGAUUAAACAGGCACACAGCUCAGGUGAGAUUCAGAGAUUCAGUGAAUUUUGACACUGGGAUACAAAUUAGACCAAGUUUGUAGAAAAGGUGAUACCUUUAAUUAGAUCAACUGAUAGAAAUGGAGAAAACUUGACUGACAUCCUUAAUGAGAAUUGAGAAGGAGGAAAAUCCAAACUGAAUAUAAGUGGCAUGUAUUGCUUUAAGUGUAAUAAAUUAUUUUAAUCAAUUAAACCACUGGUGAGAAAACACCUGCUAACAUGAAUGUACAGAGGAUCAAUCAGUAAGAAAACUGUCGGCUUUAAAAAUAAUGUUGCUACUGUCUCCAUGAAGAAUGUAGUUCCCAGGUUUAUUUUUCAAAUGUGACUUGGAGGUCCCUUGUUAGUCCCUGCUCUGUGCAAGAGAUGGAUUAUUUUUUUAAAUGAAAUAAUUAUUCUCCUACCCUUUGCUGUGUUUUGUCUGUGAUCUGUGCCAGUUCAGUGUAGUGAAUAAUAGUUGAUGAGUUCCAUGCAUGUAAUUUUCAUGAGAAUGUGUGAUAGUGUAAUAUAUCACAUUUUAAAGAGUAUGCAGAAAACAUAAAAUAAUUAAUUUUCAUUAAUUCUGGUCACUGAUAUCAAUCAUGUUAAAUAUGUCAGUAUUCAUGAAGUUUACUUUGGCUGUGCCAGCAAGGUUUAAUUCUAAUGAGUGUUUGUUAGUACAGAAGAGGUCUGCUUUGGAUUGUGAGUUUAAUACGGGGACCAGUAUUUAAAAAGAGAUGUGGGAAAGAAGCAGUCUUCAAGGAGGUGUAAAUGCUGUAAUUAUCUGGUUUUUGUACAUAUACAAGCAUUGAGUAUUAUGCAAUAAACAGGAAUAUUUUAUUAA